AAAGACACAAACUAGAGGUCCUGGUUUUGUCCCAGUACCAGAACAAAGGUGGAGAGCUGCUCUACAUUUUGCAUCUGCCUUCUUUAAUUUGAGUCAGUGUUAUGAACCAAUGUCUUGUUUUUCUUGCAGAACCACCACCACAUCCCCCCAUAGCAUUGAUUGUGGGGAGUCUGGUGGGGAUCAUGUGUGGCCUUGGUGCUGUUGUUGUUGUUGCUUUUCUUUACCGAAGACGACAGAAGAAUAAAACCGCAAACACAAUGAACGCAGUCUCCCAGGUCAGCCUUGUUUAAUAACCUUAAGGCUCUUUCCCACAUACAGGCGCGUGUCAGCCACUCUUUCACCCGCUUUGUCGAGCUUUUCAAAAA
rnacentral:lncRNA from 1 species